GGCGAACGGGUGAGUUAAUGCAUCGGAACGUGCCCAACUGUGGGGGAUAGCUCGGCGAAAGCCGGAUUAAUACCGCAUACGAUCCACGGAUGAAAGCGGGGGACCUUCGGGCCUCGCGCAGUUGGAGCGGCCGAUGUUAGAUUAGGUAGUUGGUGGGGUAAAGGCUCACCAAGCCAACGAUCUAUAGCUGGUCUGAGAGGACGACCAGCCACACUGGGACUGAGACACGGCCCAGACUCCUACGGGAGGCAGCAGUGGGGAAUUUUGGACAAUGGGCGCAAGCCUGAUCCAGCAAUACCGCGUGCAGGAAGAAGGCCUUCGGGUUGUAAACUGCUUUUGUACGGAACGAAAAGGUCUGGGUUAAUACCCUGGGCCCAUGACGGUACCGUAAGAAUAAGCACCGGCUAACUACGUGCCAGCAGCCGCGGUAAUACGUAGGGUGCAAGCGUUAAUCGGAAUUACUGGGCGUAAAGCGUGC
rnacentral:rRNA from 1 species